GACGAACGCUGGCGGCGUGCUUAACACAUGCAAGUCGAACGGAAAGGCCCUGCUUUUGUGUGGUGCUCGAGUGGCUAACGGGUGAGUAACACGUGAGUAACCUGCCCUUGACUUUGGGAUAACUUCAGGAAACUGGGGCUAAUACUGGAUAGUAGCUCCUGCUGCAUGGUGGGGGGUGGAAAGUUUCGGCGGUUGGGGAUGGACUCGCGGCUUAUCAGCUUGUUGGUGGGGUAGUGGCUUACCCAGGCUUUGCCGGGUAGCCGGCCUGAGAGGGUGACCGGCGACAUGGGGACUGAGAUACGGCGCAGACUCCUACGGGAGGCAGCAGUGGGGAAUAUUGCACAAUGGGCGGAAGCCUGAUGCAGAAACGCCGCGUGCGGGAAGAAGGCCUUCGGGUUGUAAACCGAGUAAGCCUGUGACGAAGAGUGAGUGACGGUAAUGGGUAAAGAAGCACCGGCUAACUACGUG
rnacentral:rRNA from 1 species